rnacentral:rRNA from 1 species
GACGAACGCUGGCGGCGUGCCUAAUACAUGCAAGUAGAACGCAGUUGCGAACGGGUGAGUAACGCGUAGGUAACUGCCUGGUAGCGGGGGAUAACUAUUGGAAACGAUAGCUAAUACCGCAUACUACCAGAUGGACCUGCGUUGUAUUAGCUAGUUGGUGAGGUAACGGCGCACCAAGGCAACGAUACAUAGCCGCCCGGAGAUGGUGAGCGGCCAAACUGGGACGGAGACACGGCCCAGAUUCGUACGGGAGGCAGCAGGAGGGAAGCGUCGGCAAUGGGGGGAACCCGGACCGAGCAACGCCGCGGGAGUGAAGAAGGUUUUCGGAUCGGAAAGCUCUGUUGUUAAGGAAGCGGUACUUAACCAGAAAGGGACGGCUAACUACGUGCCAGCCGCCGCGGUAAUUC